UCCUCGGUAGCUCAAUGGUGGAGCAGGCGGCUGUUAACCGCAAGGUUAGAGGUUCGAGCCCUCUCCGGGGAGCAA
rnacentral:tRNA from 1 species